GCCGCUGUGUGGCGGAACCGGCCCCUCCCCUCCGCGGGCGGCGCCAUUUUACCCCCCCUCUCGCAGCGUGUGCGCCUCGGCUGCUGUGGCGGCUGAGGGGAGGGGGGGGCGAGCGGAGAGAGAGAGAGAGAGAGGCCGUCACCGCCGCUGCCGCCGCCGCUUUUCGCCCCCCUCCCUCGUUUCUUGCCUCGGCCCGGGCAGCGUGUGGAGGGGAAGGGACGAGGUUCAGUUCCUGCCCCUCGCUUUCCCCUUUGGGAUGGCCGCACACGGGGUGGGGGGGACCGGGCACCACCAAGCCAGGCUGCUCCUACCCUCCUUCCUUCCUUCCUUCCUCCCCUGCACAUCUUAGCCUCCUCCUCCUCCUCCAUCCAUCCAUCCAUCCAUCCCCGGGGGUGAGCCUUGGAAUGAGCAGCACUGUUGCUAGCCCGAUGUCAACAGUUGCCUCUUCAAGCAGUGGAAGGAAAUCAACAAGCUUUACACCUGAAUUGCAAAGUAUGAUGUCUCAAAUGUUGUGCUGUGUGUGCUGUAAGUUUUAAAGGAAGUUUUGCAACAAGAAGGGGUGAAGACACAUCAGUAAUUGAUAACAACCAGGUAUGUAAAGAAGAAAGAGAGAUGUAUUUUUAAAUCAGUGUUGAGACUAGUAAAAUUGUUGCCCAUCUCAGUAUCUUUAUUAGUCUGUUUAGGUUAUUAUUAUUUUAUGCAUAUCUGAUCAAGUGGAAUAGCCAUUAUAUUAUGUAUAUUUACUGUAUCUAGCCAGUUCAGUGAGCAAGUAAGAUUAUUAAAUCUGGUGGUAGAAGACUUCAAACAAUUGCUAGUUCAAAUUCUUCUAACUUUAUACAAAGCUGAUAAAAUUUAGUAGCCAUUAAGUAGUGUUUAUUCAAUACAUCUGGUUGAGUCAGUAGACGAUGUUGAAGUCUGACAGUAGACUAUUUUUAUAGAUUUAGUGCAUUUUAAAAUCUUUCAUGCACAUUGAGGAGCUACUGUAUAUUAUUGUUACAGGGCAGAUUUGUGUCUUACAUUGCGUGCAUGUGCUAUGCAUCUACGGUCCUGACACUUUUAUAUAGGUUUUAUGGAGCACAAGCUUACUGUAAGAACAUGUCACUAAGAUUAGAGUUCAGAUUGUAUGGGUAUUUUACAUUUAUUCCACUCACGUCUUACUCUGCCCUUCAAAAAUGCUGGAACUGAAGACCAGUGCCCUUUUAUGUUUUUCUUUGUUUCUUCCUUUUCUUUUUUUUAAUGUAUGAAAAAGGGGUUAUAUUAUUUUUAAGAUACGUCCUAAAAUGUAAAAUGAUGGAGAAUAAUUCUGAUGAUAAAGUAAAAAGCACACACUAGUGGUAACUAGGACUAUGUUUCAAGAUGUUUUUCAGUUGUGAAAAUUUGAUCAGUGAAUUAACCGCACAUCCGGCUACAUACAUCUUUGAUCAGAAUUGGAACAUUCCAACUCGUGUGUGUGUGUGUGUAUGUAAGCUGGCUCCAUCAAGUAGGUUUUACACAUGUGCACUACACAUGUGCCUUGAAAUUAGUUAGUAAAUUAAUACUAUAAUUUAAAGUAAUAAAAUGAUACUCUUUCAAGCCUUUGUUUUGUACCUAAUGAGUAUUAUAAUAAUUUAUCUUUCUGGUCAAGCUCAAGUCUUCAUUUAUUUUAAGAUGUAUUAGUAUGCAUUUAGGUGGCUCAGCUGUAAUUAAGAUUUUGCUUUUGCUUUUAAAGGUAAUAUUAAAAUGUUACUUUAAUGAGCUUAGAUCCCCAAAUUAUUACAAGGUCAUGACAGAAUUAAUUGCUAUACAGAAUAAUAGAGCAUGAUUUUAGGUCCUCUUCCUGAAAUACUGUAAAAUUAAAAGUUUUUUUCUAGUGUUUGCAUAUGCAGUACACAGUGUUGCAUUAGAAUGAAGCUGUUCUUGCUACAGUAUGAAAAUUAUUUGUGCUGUAGAAGAUAUAUUUCUUCCCAUUUGAUGCUAAAUUAGGUUUUUUUCUACUUCAAUGGUGUUAUUUUAUUAUCCACAAAUGACUGGACUUUUUUCUGAAUGUUGGUUUCUUUAAUAAAAUGUCAGCAUAAAGAGUGUGCUCUCUGAAUUUGUUUCAGUGUUUCUGUUUAUGCCUUUUAAUCAGAAAGGGGGAAAUAAAAAUAUACUGAAUAGCAAGAAAAAUAUAGCACUUGCAUCCAACUCUGUACAUUCAAAACUAAGAGGGGUGGAAAGGAAGCAAAGUGAAUGCCCUUUAUGCAGAAAAUCCUUUUGGGAAACGAGAACAUUUUUACUGGUGUAUACUAAGGUAUGCUGCCUAAGUAAAUAGUUGCUGCUUUCUGGUCCUGUCAGUUUUAAAUAAACCGUUCAUUGUUAUGGCUUGGUUAUUCCACAAAUAACCAAACACAGCAGAGUUAAACUUUGAUAACACUGAUUGGAAAAAUGGAGUUGAUGAACUCUCUUAAUGUGAGUUUAUACUGGUGGUCUUUACUUAGAGGAAACAAGUUUUGCAGAUUGUGUUAGGAAGUAAAUAUACUGCAGACAUUUAAGUACUCUAUUGCAAACUAUUACAAAAGCUGCUCCUGUGCUUGAAUAUUAUACAAAAGCUAGUAGCAUUAAUUCAUCAAGUGCUUGUUAAUAAAGAGUCACUAAGAUAGACAGUAUGUGUCCCUUCAACAUUAAACAGCAAAUGUGACACUUAGGAAAAGUUUUCUAUUUAAAGGUGGAGGAUUCGCAGUUCAGUCGAUGUAUUUGAAUGAAAGCAGUUACUCGUGGAGUUUAUACAGAAAAUGCAGCAAGGGCAUAUGUAGUAUAGCAGUUCAGUAUUACGGCUCACCUAAAAGGCUUUUUGAGGCAUGCUAAAUUUAAAUAGCAAAUUCUAACACAGUCUUCAGAAUUAGGUUGUUUUUGUUGGUCAUGUCUUAAAAUGCCUUUUAAGUUCUGUUGCAUCCUAACUAUUUAAUCUGUGUAGAAUUACUCUUGCUGAUUUUACAGGAAGGUUGGUAUUUAUAGUAAAUUACUGAUGUAUAAUAAUAUUAAUAUAAAAAUAAUGUUGUGAAGUAAUACCAAUUCUUGGCAGAACAACUCUGCAUUUUACAUUAGAAUUCUUUCAAUGUAAAUAUGGUGUGCCUUUUUUUUUUGAUCACUUUCAGAAGAAAUAUAUUGCACUGUGUCAAAACCAGCAGCUGACCUACAAAUAAGACUACUUUGGCUAAAAUGCAUGCUUUCACUUUGAAAGUUGAGGUGAGUUAAGAUUGGUCAGUCUAAUGUCCAGAAAGGCAGUUUCUCUCUUCGUGGGACUAUGGGAAGAACAAGAAGAUACGAAGAGACUUAGUCCCAAACAUCUAUUUCCUCAAUUAUUGCCAAGUAUUCUAAAAUAAGUACUUCCACCAUCUGUUAUUUGAAUACUAGCACUAACGCUUACAAUUUAUGUAGAACACUAUAAUAGUGUUAAUAGACAUUCUUUUUUACAAAUAUUAAGACAAGACCCUUGCUGCAAGUUCCUACAUUGCAUAUUAGCAAAGUAGAGAUAUGUGAAGAGUUGUAAAUGUUCUUUGGGUAUUUGUAUUGCUGGCAAAUCUGAAUGUGAUAGCACAUUCUCUUUUACAACUUCAGUAUUAGGGUAGAAAAUGUUGUACCAAUAGAGAUGUUAUCUGAAUUUACACUAUUACUGGUUUUUGCUUGUUUUUUUUUUUGUUUAUUUCUUUUUACCUGAGGAAUUUCAAAAUUUUGGAAGUAUGGAUUAGUAGGAAUUAGAGGUUUGAACUGUACACACGUGCAUGUUUGCACAUACACAGCUCAUUAACAUUUCUUAAAGAAUACCCUGUUCUAUUACCACACAUGGAUAUGUUAAAAUAUCAUGCUUUUUUAACUCUGUCUUUUCUGAUUUGUAUUUAAAUGAAUUACAGAUGUUUUGGGGGAUUAACACUAUCUGGAAGUGAAUGUACUUAGGCAUAAUUAUUUGUCUAUAUUGUUGUUCCUUAAAAACCCCCAAACCAAACAACCCUCUCUUUUGCUUAUGUGUAUAGGGUCAUAUAUAUUAAAUGUGUUUGAAGUAAUUCAAUUCUGUAAUUAAUAAGGACUUGUAACGUCACCCCGCUCCGAUUUGCUAUAUCAGACCUGCUUUCAGAAGAACUGCACCCAGCAUGUGGUCA
rnacentral:lncRNA from 1 species